UACGAAGGGGGCUAGCGUUGCUCGGAAUCACUGGGCGUAAAGCGUGCGCAGGCGGUUCGUUGUGUCGGCGGUGAAAGCCCCGGGCUCAACCUGGGAAUGGCCGUUGAAACUGGCGAACUGGAGUGUGGCAGAGGGGGGUGGAAUUCCGCGUGUAGCAGUGAAAUGCGUAGAUAUGCGGAGGAACACCGAUGGCGAAGGCAAUCCCCUGGGCCUGCACUGACGCUCAUGCACGAAAGCGUGGGGAGCAAACAGG
rnacentral:rRNA from 1 species